rnacentral:rRNA from 1 species
AGCGAACGCUGGCGGCAGGCCUAACACAUGCAAGUCGAACGAACCUUUCGGGGUUAGUGGCGGACGGGUGAGUAACACGUGGGAACGUGCCUUUAGGUUCGGAAUAACUCAGGGAAACUUGUGCUAAUACCGAAUGUGCCCUUCGGGGGAAAGAUUUAUCGCCUUUAGAGCGGCCCGCGUCUGUUUAGCUAGUUGGUUGAGGUAAUGGCUCACCAAGGCGACGAUCAGUAGCUGGUCUGAGAGGAUGAUCAGCCACAUUGGGACUGAGACACGGCCCAAACUCCUACGGGAAGCAGCAGUGGGGAAUCUUGCGCAAUGGGCGAAAGCCUGACGCAGCCAUGCCGCGUGAAUGAUGAAGGUCUUAGGAUUGUAAAAUUCUUUCACCGGGGACGAUAAUGACGGUACCCGGAGAAGAAGCCCCGGCUAACUUCGUG